ACUCACUCUCUAUUAGAACUGCUUUAGUAAGUUCACUGCAUCUUCUCAACAACCUGUGACAGUCAUCAUGGUCUUCACUGUGCUGGCAAGAGUUCUUCUUGGGGUUAUUUUGCUUUGUUUUAUUCAAAAUGUGAUAAAUGAAGAGGUGGACAUUGAAACCCUGUCAAGGCUUAAACAAUAUUUUCACAUUUAUGAUAAAGGCCAGUAUGCAGUGGCCAUCAAUGUUCCGAAAGAGCAGUGUCAAAGUGGUUUCGAACCAUCAAAAGACAACUUUCUGACAAAGGAGAACUGGGACGAUGUUACAAUACAACGUAACAGUAAGAAAGUCUACGAAGGCACUGAACUCAUUGCUGCGGGUGUUCAUAAAGAAGCACAUUCAGAGUAUUUACUGAUGAAUCCUGAAAAUAAUUCUCCUUUGACACGCUUGUUGAAUAACAAGAAUAGAUGUGUUGUUUUCUACACUUUAAACUCACCCUGUGUAGGCAAGUGUCUUUAUAACAAAGUUGUACUUGCAGGUCUUAAAGAAUUACAGAAAUAUCAGGGAAUGAAAGCCUUUGUUUACACAAAUAUAUAUACAGAAGAUCAGACAGACCCAGAACUACGUGCUGAACUGAAAACGAUUGCUGAUCUUGUGCCACUUUACCGCUGUAAAGGAAACAGUUGUAUCUCUUGUGGACAAGAUGUGAUAGAUGCAUGUU
rnacentral:lncRNA from 1 species